rnacentral:rRNA from 1 species
UAGGGAAUCUUCGGNAAUGGACGGAAGNCNGACCGAGCAACGCGCGUGAGUNAAGAAGGUUUUCGGAUCGUAAAGCUCUGUUGUAAGAGAAGAACGAGUGUGAGAGUGGAAAGUUCACACUGUGACGGUAUCUUACCAGAAAGGGACGGCUAACUACGUGCCAGCAGCCGCGGUAAUACGUAGGUCCCGAGCGUUGUCCGGAUUUAUUGGGCGUAAAGCGAGCGCAGGCGGUUAGAUAAGUCUGAAGUUAAAGGCUGUGGCUUAACCAUAGUACGCUUUGGAAACUGUUUAACUUGAGUGCAAGAGGGGAGAGUGGAAUUCCAUGUGUAGCGGUGAAAUGCGUAGAUAUAUGGAGGAACACCGGUGGCGAAAGCGGCUCUCUGGCUUGUAACUGACGCUGAGGNUCGAAAGCGUGGGGAGCAAACAGGAUUAGAUACCCUGGUAGUCCACGCCGUAAACGAUGAGUGCUAGGUGUUAGACCCUUUCCGGGGUUUAGUGCCGCAGCUAACGCAUUAAGCACUCCGCCUGGGGAGUACGACCGCNNGUUG